UACGUAGGGGGCAAGCGUUGUCCGGAUUUAUUGGGCGUAAAGAGCGUGUAGGCGGCCAGAUAGGUCCGUUGUGAAAACUGGAGGCUUAACCUCCAGCGGUCGAUGGAAACCAUCUGGCUAGAGUCCGGAAGAGGAGAGUGGAAUUCCUGGUGUAGCGGUGAAAUGCGCAGAUAUCAGGAAGAACACCCGUGGCGUAGGCGGCUCUCUGGGACGGUACUGACGCUGAGGCGCGACAGCGUGGGGAUCAAACAGG
rnacentral:rRNA from 1 species